GGUUCAUAUUACAUACUAAAUUUGGAACGAUACAGAGAAUAUUAGCGUCGCCUCUGCGCAAGGAUGACAAAAUUAUUGGAAUGAAUGAUUUAUUAAU
rnacentral:snRNA from 13 species